rnacentral:misc_RNA from 1 species
UACAAUAUAUCCUUUUUAUUUUCCCCAGGUGAGAGUCGGGUUGCCCCCCCCCCCACCCCCCACCGUCCUGCCCCUAGAACCGGUGUCAGCAGAAGGUUGAAGAAUGGAGGAAGGCCCUCGCCGUUGGUGACGCCCUGGACUCAGCGCGCAGGAAGCCCCGCUGUUAUGCCGCAGUGAAGCCUCGGGCGGGCGACGGGCGGGAGCGAGCGGCGGCGGAGGCGGCGGCGGAGGCGGCGGCGGCGGAGGCGGACAGGUGUCAUGGUGGUCGGGGAGGUCAUGAGCAGAGUGACGCAGCUAUAGUCCAGGGUUGAAGAUGUCGUGGCUGGGCGGGGACGACCCCGGGGGUGGGUACGGGGACGACUACCCGUGGUGGGCGCCCGAGGACGGCCACGGCGCCCGCGACAACCGGACGUGGGAGGAGCGCUGCUACACACUCGACUACGACUACCACGUGGUCACGGCCGUCAUCUGCGCCAUGUUCCUCGUCUUCGGCGUCGUCUACAGCCUCUUCGGUUACCGUUGCUUCAAGGCUGUGAUGUUUCUAACAGGCUUCAUCUUCGCUUCGGUGGUGGUGUACCUGAUAUGCCUGAGUGAGGACCUGCUGCCCUUGAUUGGCAAUGCAGGCGUGUCUCUCGGGGCAGGCGUCAUGUUUGGCCUCAUCACGAUGCUGGUUCAGUAUGUGGGCCUCUUCAUGACUGGUCUCCACACUGGUCUCUUCCUUGGUGUGGCAGGCAUCGCUAUAGCCUACAAGUGGUGGGUCCCAAGCAGUGUGUGGCCAGUGGUAGGAAUCCUCCUUGCUGCAGGGCUGUUGCUGGCCAUCACAACCCUGUACUUCCAGAAGGGACUGACCAUCCUGGGCACAGCCAUCAGUGGAGGAGCCAUCAUGUCUGCCACACUAGACUACUUUAUUGAGAAGUUCCUGAUGGUGCGUUGGUUUGAGGACCGACUGAAGGUGGUGGAGAGCGAGCCUCCAUGCUGGUUCUCCUGGAUGAUCCUGGGUGUGUGGCCCUUCAUGGUGCUGGUGGGGAGCCUCACCCAAUGGAAGAUUACAGGCAGAGGCAUCUAUCAUCAGCAGUUGGUGCCCUCCAAAAAAUCUCGAAGUGUGAACCUCCAGCGAAUGAGGAGUCGAGAGGCCCGGGCUGAGAUGCGCCAGAAGAAAUACCGGUAUUUGUAUCAAGUUCGUACUGCUCACGGGGACAUCAUCAGCCAGGUGAAUAUGCCAGUGUCCGAUCUCAGAUAUACCACUGUUAGCGAGGCUUAGCAGUGUCUGUCUGGCGGAUACGUGGUGGUGGGACUAACUGGUGGUUGUGUCGUCUAAUGCAAGUGUCCAGGUAUGCACUGUUGUCACCCUGUUAACGUCAUGUUUACUGCCUUCUGCCUCCCUCUACAGUCUAUGACAUCUUCCUUGGUGAGGAAUACAUUCAGAGUCUCCAGCGGAAGGCUUACCCUACAGGGGACAAUGGUACCCUCCAAUCAGACUCAACGCACACCACCAUGUUACCCCCAGAGCACACUCAGCUAGCACCCCUCACCGAGAGCGAGGAUGAAAC